UUCUUGUUCAGAGCUUCUGUGGUUAUGGAGUCAGCCACUAUUACUUGCGUAUUGGAGCAGACUCAGCAGGCGGAGGACUAGGAAGAUUUUAUAGCAGCAGGAAGAGCACUCUUGUAGUGUUCCCUAACUGGAGGCUGUUGGCAUGAAGAGGCUGUGGCCAGUGCUCCAGGAUCCAGUCCCAUAUGGAGAAAAGAUCUAGAGACAGACUUCAGUAUGGAGAGAGGGCUCCUGCAGAAUGCCCUGAACAUCCUCUGCUUGGAAUGAUAAGGAGAAAUGGAUUUGCUGUGGGUAUGACUCAGUUGCUUUUCUGCUUUCUGUCUGAAAGGAAUGUCAGCAAGGAAUAAGCAGAGCAGAGGGAAGUUUCCAGGAGCUCCAGUUAAAAAAUUCAAGACACAUUCCUUCUCUGGCCUCCAUCCUCCGCUGCUGCCAUUGCCGCCGCCGCCGCCGCCGCCGCUGUUCUCUCGUUGCUCCUUGAUGGCCUGGUCACGAGAAAAAUCUGCAGGGCCUCUGGGACCUUCACAGCGUCUGCUUAGCAAUCACUCCUGAGCUUUCCAGUAAUUGACUGGCAACAGGAGGGAGAACAGAAACUGGGAAACUGGCAGUUUCUCCGAUUCCUCCUUCCCCUCCUGCCUCUCUCUGCGUUUAUCUCUGUCCACCUUCUCUGUGUUCGCCCCCUGGCCACCCCCUCCUCCUGCUCUAUUUGCCUUUCAAGUAAUAAUCCAUUUCUCUCCAGUUUCCUGAAUGUGAUAAUCUCUGUCAGACUCAAGAGACAAUCAAGUUAAUGAAAUUCCUGUCAAUAAAAAGAGGACAUUUAUUAAAUGGAAAUUAUGUUUAAAGAUGGCAGAGAACAUCACUUAAGGCUAAGGCUGAGAAGAAUUAAGAAAUUAUUCUGGGGAAUGUUUUGUUUGGGAGGAUUUGUAUGAAGCAGCAGGCAGAGACUCUGCUUGGUGGAGCAGGGGGAAGUUUAGGCUGGAUACUGCUUAUGCUACAGGUCGGGGUAAGGGUGUGACCUUAGAAAGAUGACUUAAUCUCUCUCUACCUCCAUUUCUUCAUACACAAAGUGGGAAUAUUUAUAAUACCUUAUAAAGUUGCCAUAUAACUGGAAUGAUUUACAUUACAUACUCAACACAAUGGCCAGCAUACAGCAAGCAUAUUCAAAACGUUUGCUUGUGCCAUUGGCCUAAAACGAGGUCAGUGCAAAUAUAAUUAAUGUCAUUUCACAAAUUAUAAGAUUAAUGAGGCUCCUUUCAGAAAGGGAAACAAAAUGAGAAUUCAGUUCUUGUUUAGAUUAUACGUUCAAAAGAAAAAUGAGAGUAAUGUAGAAGCCACAGAUUAGAAUGUAAAUGCUUUAAUGAUUUCACUUAAUAGUUGAAAGGCUUGAAAUAAAAUAAAGUUGUUGUUGAUGAUGA